CGACAGGAAAAGGAGGACAGAGUACGCCCCCAUUCUCAUCGACGGGGCCUGAUAAAGAGAGCUAUGAAACCUGUCUACAUAUGAAGAGGUCCCAAUGAAGAUCAGUGGUUCUCAGUCCUGGGGACUCACAGCGGUGCACAUUUUUAUUUUUGCCUCAGCACUGCACAGCCGACUCAAAUGAUCAACUCCUCAUCAAGCUUCAAGUGAUACCUUGUAACUGGAGAUUCCUUCAAAACGAUUGGCUACAGUUAACGUGCAGGGCACUGCAAGGUUGGGUGUCCAGGGCCAUCUGGGACUUCCUGUUGGAGGAAUACAGGUGUGUGAAGGCUACCUGUGUCCUGCAUAACUUCAUGAGGAUGGACAGGAGGGGAUCUGCAGGAGGGGUUCUGCAGCUCGAGUCUGCUGCUCUGCAGGAUGUUUCAAGGAUGGAGUUUCCAACAAUUCAGCAAGAGCAAAUCCGUGUGCGGGAGAUCUUCACCUCCUACUUCUUGGAAGAGGGUGCUGUUCCCUGGCAACACCAUAGACUACACUACGCACAACCAAAGACUCUUUUAAGAGUCAUUGACAUUGCAUUAAGAGUAUUAUUCUAUUUACUUAGCUAUGUUAACUGCAGUUAUUCAAUUCCCAGUUUCUCGCUCUUUGAGUCCUACUUCUCAGGUAGGAGGGUACUGUUUAGGUAAGGGUGUGACGUCUGUACAAAAACAAAACGGGCUAUUUUAAAUAAUCCAUAUUGAAAAAAUGGAGAACAAUUAGACACCCUAUAACCCACACCUACACACUCAUGUAUCAAUCUGAUUGAUGAACUGACUGUGUUGUGCAGUAAGCAGACUUGACUGUAUAACUGUGGCUCUGUACACCUUCAAAGAAUAGGCAAGAGGGCAACCAUGGAGAAUAAUAAGACACUUUAUUAUUUCUAUAACUACGCUAUAAUGUUUGUCCUUGUGUGUCCAUUCAUGUUUUUCAGCAAAGAGUACUCUGCAGCCACUUAGUGUGGUGGGUUCACACCACACUGAUUCCUGUUGAACAUUUUCUCAAUAACGGUCUCUCUCCUUCACUUCAUCCCUCUUCUCCCUAAAUCCUUUAGUUUAUAUCAGCUGUGUCGGGGAACCCCUCCCGCAUCUGAGCUGGCUACAUAGAGGGCACUUGGUCAGGUCAACAGGAAGUAUUAUUAAAGAGAUGCUUCACAUCGGGAUUACUGCAUCUAUCUGUAUUUCAGAGUUAAUGAUCGAAGGUCAGUUUUGCAUUUCACCUCCUGAUGCUUAUGAUUACACCUCUUUCUUCCUCUGUUUUUAUAGUGCACAACAGAUGUGCUUUGAAGUACAGAUUGAACUUGUAUUGUAUUAUAUUUAUGCAUGUAUUUAUAACACUUGAUAAUGAACUUCUUUCACAAAGCGUUUCAUAUUCUCUACUAGUUGAAAUUAAGUCUCAUUUGAUGAAAUACUACACCUAUCCUGUGUUUAUCAGAUCAAUGCAGAUGAAGGGAAUUAGAUAUUAAGAUUAACUGGUUUUAGAGUAUUAACAUGAUGCAUAGGAAGUGUAGUGUACUGUUUAAAAAAAAAUUCUGUAUAUAUGAAUUACAAAUCAGUCUUUGAACUAGUUAAAUCCUGUUUCUAGUCUAUUAGUUACAAUGUGUAACCAUUGAUUGGUAAACACUGAAGUGUAUAAUUGUAAUACAUACAUUCAGACGGUGUCAUUCAAAGACUGGAAUUUGAUACGACUGAAAAAUUAUCUAAAAGACAUUCAUACCUGAACUGCACCUUUAAUUGCCAAGGUAGAGUACAUGAUCAAUGAAUAUAUGAAAUGUACAGGCUACCAAUCUCAUGCUUGGUAUUAACUACAUGUAUAUACGACUAGCAUCCUUGGCACAAAGUUAUAUUCUACUCAAUCCAUAGGCUUCAUUAAUGUCAUUUAGACGGUUUUGAAGUUGAUACAACUGGUUAAUGAUAGCUGAGGUUCAUAGCUAGGUUCUGAACUAAUAUGUAUACCAAAUGUUUGGGUCAAAUCACCGAUAGGCUAGAUACAGUUGAAGUCGGAAGUUUACAUACACCUAAGCCAAAUACAUUUAAACUCAGUUUUUCACAAUUCCUGACAU